AGGGAAUCUUCGGCAAUGGACGAAAGUCUGACCGAGCAACGCCGCGUGAGUGAAGAAGGUUUUCGGAUCGUAAAACUCUGUUGUUAGAGAAGAACGUUGCAUAGAGUGGAAAAUUAUGCAAGUGACGGUAUCUAACCAGAAAGGGACGGCUAACUACGUGCCAGCAGCCGCGGUAAUACGUAGGUCCCGAGCGUUGUCCGGAUUUAUUGGGCGUAAAGCGGGCGCAGGUGGUUUAAUAAGUCUGAUGUAAAAGGCAGUGGCUCAACCAUUGUGUGCAUUGGAAACUGUUAGACUUGAGUGCAGUAGAGGAGAGUGGAAUUCCAUGUGUAGCGGUGAAAUGCGUAGAUAUAUGGAGGAACACCGGUGGCGAAAGCGGCUCUCUGGACUGUCACUGACACUGAGGCUCGAAAGCGUGGGUAGCAAACAGGAUUAGAUACCCUGGUAGUCCACGCCGUAAACGAUGAGUGCUAGUUGUUUGGGGCUAUCCAGCCCUAAGUGACGCAGCAAACGCAUUAAGCACUCCGCCUGGGGAGUACGACCGCAAGGUUGAAACUCAAAGGAAUUGACGGGGGCCCGCACAAGCGGUGGAGCAUGUGGUUUAAUUCGAAGCAACGCGAAGAACCUUACCAGGUCUUGACAUACUCGUGCUAUUCCUAGAGAUAGGAAGUUCCUUCGGGACGCGGGAUACAGGUGGUGCAUGGUUGUCGUCAGCUCGUGUCGUGAGAUGUUGGGUUAAGUC
rnacentral:rRNA from 1 species